UCCGUGGUGGUCCAGUGGCUAAGACUCUGCACUCCCAAUAUAGAGGCCUGGGUUCAAUCCCUGGUCAGGGAG
rnacentral:tRNA from 1 species